ACGUUCGCACGCCCUGGCUGCUAGGAGACGCUAUUCCGUUUACCCGGCCCUGAUGCGCGCCAGUCAACCAGGCGAAGGCCAGGGGACCUCGAGACCGGCAGCCCGGACGAUGAACCGGAAGGAGGAAAAGGAACGGGAGGGAGAAAGAUCUCCCGCAAUGACUUCAUAACCAAGUUCUGGGUCCCUGCCUCUGGAGUGCCUGAUGAGACAAAACGGCUCCUCGUCCUGCAUCCCCGCUGCUACUUCCAGAAUUCAGGCCUCGUGGUCUGGAGCCUGCACUGUUCCAUGAGCCUCCUGACCAACCUGGAGGCCUCUGUCUUUCUUCCCUCAGUGAGAUGUGCCUACUUCUCCCUGGAGACGCUCGAGGAAGCAGGAAUGCUGGAGAUGAGAGGCCUCGUCUGCUCAGGGGCUUGUUCUUCUGUCUCUUUCAGAGGCCUCGUCUGCUCAGGGGCUUGUUCUUCUGUCUCUUUGCAGGGCUGUUUUGGACUCAGUAUUCACCUAAGCACUCCAAAUUGUAAGUAACCCCGGAGGUCAUGGGGUGUCCCACCGCCCCUCCAUUUGGAGGCAGUGACCCCUCUCCCACAGAGGAGGUGCUCGAAUGUGUCCAGUGCCCUGCCCAUUAGGUUAGAGAGGGUUCCCUUUUU
rnacentral:antisense_RNA from 1 species